GAUGAACGCUGGCGGCGUGCCUAAUACAUGCCAGUCGAGCGAACAGACGAGGAGCUUGCUCCUCUGACGUUAGCGGCGGACGGGUGAGUAACACGUGGAUAACCUACCUAUAAGACUGGGAUAACUUCGGGAAACCGGAGCUAAUACCGGAUAAUAUAUUGAACCGCAUGGUUCAAUAGUGAAAGACGGUUUUGCUGUCACUUAUAGAUGGAUCCGCGCCGCAUUAGCUAGUUGGUAAGGUAACGGCUUACCAAGGCAACGAUGCGUAGCCGACCUGAGAGGGUGAUCGGCAACACUGGAACUGAGACACGGUCCAGACUCCUACGGGAGGCAGCAGUAGGGAAUCUUCCGCAAUGGGCGAAAGCCCGACGGAGCAACGCCGCGUGAGUGAUGAAGGUCUUCGGAUCGUAAAACUCUGUUAUUAGGGAAGAACAAAUGUGUAAGUAACUAUGCACGUCUUGACGGUACCUAAUCAGAAAGCCACGGCUAACUACGUG
rnacentral:rRNA from 1 species